rnacentral:tRNA from 1 species
GGUUUGUGGCUCAGUGGUAGAGUGCUUACCUAGCAUGUGUGAGGCAUUGGGUUCAAUUCUCAGCACUG